rnacentral:lncRNA from 1 species
AUGGGGAGCAACAAGCAGACAAAGAAGAUUCCACUCCUGCAAGAAAAAGAAGUUACCCCAGAGCCUCUUUUUUGGUGCCAUAUUGCGGAGAUGGUCCCCAUCCACACCGUGUCGGUUAGGGAUGCAAAUAACAAAAGCCUCACUAAGCCACCGGAAAGAAGUGGGGCUGGGCAAGGUCACAUAUUUUCUUUCUCAAAACAAGAAACUCGAGGUGAGAUGCUGCUGGCAUUGACUCCGCUGCUCAACGAUGCUUCGAGGAUCAAAGACCUAUUUUUUAAUCCCUGCAUUCUCAUGCUGGGCUUGACAUCAAAGAUGGUUGCUGCCUCUCCAGACAUUGUGUGUGUGUGUGUGUUUAAUACGUUAUUCUGUUGCAAGAAAGAAGUAGGAGAUGGUUAUUGGGACAGAGUGUACCUAACAACGUCACUGCCAGAUUCGUUGUCAACCCAGAAAUAGAAGUGCUGCCUUCUUCCCAGGGCCCCGACCAAUCAGGGAGGUGUCCUCUCUAUUUACUCUCCUCUGAAACUCACCUGCCUCUGCCCAGCCUCUGCUCCUUCCUCAGCUCAGACCCCUGACAUCUCUGGGAUUACUGGAACGAUAGGUCUCAUUGCCUCCAGUCUGGACGCCCCCUCCCCGCCUCCACAAGGCUGCGCUGAGUGGUCUGGCCAGCAUGCAAAUGUUGACUUGUCCCCAUUGCCACCACCCACCACACAAAAUCUCCAAGCGCUUCCAAGCACUCUCAGAGUGAAUCCCAGACUCCCCCCACCCCCUGGCUCACAGGCUCUGUGUGACCUGACAAGCCCCUGCGUCCUGCAUACCACGUGCUCUGCUCUCCCACCCAGUUCCCCUGAGAUCCCAGGAGGCCUGACCCCAGAAGCUGCCUCCUAGUGAUCUCACUACACCCACCUGUUAGCCCGUCACGGGACUGCCCAAAUGUGGUGCAACGCCCAGCAAUCUUCGGUCCCCUGCCCAAUCAUGGUUCCCAGAGGGUGGGCACUGUGUCAUCGACCUUCACGUCCCCAGCCCUUAGCACAGCAUCUGGGACAUAGUAAGUGCUAAAUAAAUUUUUGUUGAAUGAAUGAAUGUUCGCA